UAUUAAAUUUGAAUCCAGAUAAACAAUUCUAUCAAAUAUUUAGUUAGGAUAGAGAGAGAUUUGUUCUAACCCUGUAAGAUAUUGCAUGGAUUAGAACAUGUGAGAGAUGCUGCAGUUCACAUGUUUUACUCAUCUCCCAGUUUGCUUCCUGCACCCCUUGACAAAAUUAUUCCUAUCUCUCACGCGCUUCUUAUUACCUCAAGUGGCGCACCUCCUUCCCUAACCCUAGCUAGCACCCCCUGACCUCACUCCUUCACUGCUACGGUGCGCCACCGUCACUUCUUCACCUUAGUCGUGCGGCGCGCCAACCUGACUCCCUAAGGCUUGCGACACAUCAGGUGGUUGAAGGCACCGCCAUUCCCUUGCGCAACAAACCUGUUUGAAGCCACCCCGACACCGACGAAGAUGCAAUAAUUUGUCAUUGUCAUGUGGGAGCAAAGAAGUUGUCGAGGAGAGAAGAGAAGGACGUGAAAGUUUAGAUUCUCAAGACAAUUCUGCGGUUUGGGAGCAGAGAAAUAACAAGAGUUUCUAAAUUUUCUACGGGUUACACUGUACACUAAAUCAACGUUCAAAUGGUGAGAAAGUAAUGAAAGAAAAAAAAAAGAGUUGACAUGUGGAAAAAAAUCAAAUUCAGGAAA